rnacentral:rRNA from 1 species
AUGAACGCUGGCGGCGUGCUUAAUACAUGCAAGUCGAACGAAGCACUUACGACGGAGUCCCUUCGGGGUGAAGAUGUUUGUGACUGAGUGGCGGACGGGUGAGUAACGCGUGGGUAACCUGCCUUAUGCAGGGGGACAACAGUUGGAAACGACUGCUAAUACCGCAUAAGCGCACGGCACCGCAUGGUGCAGUGUGAAAAGAUUUAUCGGCAUAAGAUGGACCCGCGUCUGAUUAGGUAGUUGGUGAGGUAACGGCCCACCAAGCCGACGAUCAGUAGCCGACUUGAGAGAGUGAUCGGCCACAUUGGGACUGAGACACGGCCCCAGACUCCUACGGGAGGCAGCAGUAGGGAAUAUUGCACAAUGGGGGAAACCCUGAUGCAGCGACGCCGCGUGAGUGAAGAAGUAUUUCGGUACGUAAAGCUCUAUCAGCAGGGAAGAUAAUGACGGUACCUGACUAAGAAGCCCCGGCUAACUACGUGCC